UGUGUAGGUGGCCAUGUAAGUCAGGUGUGAAAGCCCCGGGCUCAACCCGGGAAGUGCACUUGAUACUGCGUGGCUUGAGUACCGAAGAGGGUAGUGGAAUUCCAGGUGUAGUGGUGAAAUACGUAGAUAUCUGGAGGAACACCGGUGGCGAAGGCGGCUACCUGGUCGAGUACUGACACUGAGACACGAAAGCAUGGGGAUCAAACA
rnacentral:rRNA from 1 species